AUGCUGUCAUUGGACUAUUAUGUGCUGUCUCUACUGUUUGUCUCUACUCUAACAGGAGUCAGCUGUGAAGAACCGACUCCAGUCAAGACUGAAGAGUUCAGUUCAGAAGGCAGCACUGUUACUCUGUCCUACAACUACUCCACAAAGGCAACUAGUAAUGACUAUUUCUUCUGGUAUCGACAAUAUCCAGGAAAACCACCACAGUUCCUCAUCUCUCACUUGGGAACUCAAAAUGAAACAAAGUCUGGACUGUCAGUUACAGUGAGUGGUGAUAAAACCAGAAUGGAUCUGCAGAUCUCCUCUGCUGCAGUGUCUGACUCUGCUGUGUACUACUGUGCUCUGCAGCCCACAGUGACAAAGUCCAGUUCAUCUCCACAGUUUCUCAUCAAAGAAUAUUCAGAGAACACACCAGGACUAUCUUUACAACAUGACAAGGAAAAUAAAGAGUUUCAUCUGAACAUCUCCUCUGCUGCAGUGUCUGACUCUGCUGUGUACUACUGUGCUCUGAGGCCCACAGUGACAGGAAAC